UCCCUUCCGCUGGUUUAAUUCCUUGGCAAAUUAAACCAUCGACCUCGAUUUGAAAAUUUCUUAAUUCACCUCCAAAAACCUAUUACCGACUCGAACGACCAAUCUCCACCGUGGUAUUAAUCUUUAACCCCCUCCGCCUCGUAUAAAAGGAUUGAAAGAAGAGCGGAUCCUCGCUAAAUCUAACGGAAUAAAACUAGUCGGGAUACAAAUUUCUCGGAAGGCGGCCCUUUUCUCGGCGACGAGCCUUCCGUCGCUCUGCUGUCGGAGAAGGAGAUCGGAAAAGAGGAGGAGAACGGGGGGAGAAGAAUGGCGGUACGAAGUCGCGGCCCCCUUGAAACUCCCCGACCUUAAAUCCCGACACGUGCAGUAAAUCAUGGACGCGUUACAGAAUCGUUUCGACUGCGAAACGUCUCUGUGGAAUGACGCGCGUGGAGAGAGAGAGAGAGAGAGAGAGAGAGAUUGGAAACGAGGAGGAGAGGAAAGGGGUUUCGGAGGAGAGAAGAGACCCGCGUUCUCUCGAGGCAAGAAGAAGAGUUUCGAGGCGUACAAUAAUAAUUUGUACGCCGGUCAUAUUUCACGUAAGGCGGCCGUGAAUUAUGGCAGUCGCGGUCGACGCAAAUGAUUUAGGUUUAAUAACGACGGUCUGUCCGGCCGGCCCGGGUCAGCAGCCAUUGUCGGUGAAACGACGGGGGCCUCUUCUUCUUCUUCUCCUCCGCGAUGUCCCCUCUCCGACUCGAGGAGAGGCUCGUCCGAUCGAGAGCCGGCUAGA